rnacentral:rRNA from 1 species
GAUGAACGCUGGCGGCGUGCCUAAUACAUGCAAGUCGAGCGAACGGACGAGAAGCUUGCUUCUCUGAUGUUAGCGGCGGACGGGUGAGUAACACGUGGAUAACCUACCUAUAAGACUGGGAUAACUUCGGGAAACCGGAGCUAAUACCGGAUAAUAUUUUGAACCGCAUGGUUCAAAAGUGAAAGACGGUCUUGCUGUCACUUAUAGAUGGAUCCGCGCUGCAUUAGCUAGUUGGUAAGGUAACGGCUUACCAAGGCAACGAUGCAUAGCCGACCUGAGAGGGUGAUCGGCCACAGUGGAACAGAGACACGGGCCAGACUCCUACGGGAGGCAGCAGUAGGGAAUCUUGCGAGAUGGGCGAAAGCCUGACGGAGCAACGCCGCGUGAGUGAUGAAGGUCUUCGGAUGGUAAAACUCUGUUAUUAGGGAAGAAAAUAUGUGUAAGUAACUGUGCACAUCUAGAGGGUACCUAAUAAGAAAGCCACGGCUAACUACG